CAUGGUUCGGUAUUCCCUCACAUUUGCAACAUGCCAGAUAUCUCCUCCAACCAAUUGCAAGAAAGCUUCAUGAGUUUGUUGUACAACACUAUAAAUCAAACUGCACAUGAAGCAGCAAUUUCGGAUAUCUGAAUCUCAGACACCCUCUUACUCUUUGGCUCAGUGCACACAAGCUUCAUGAGUUUGUUGUACCACUUUUGUGAAGAAAGUUUUUGUG
rnacentral:lncRNA from 1 species